rnacentral:rRNA from 1 species
AACGAACGCUGGCGGCAUGCCUAACACAUGCAAGUCGAACGAGACCUUCGGGUCUAGUGGCGCACGGGUGCGUAACGCGUGGGAACCUGCCCUUAGGUUCGGAAUAACUCUCCGACAGGGGUGCUAAUACCGGAUAAUGUCUUCGGCCCAAAGAUUUAUCGCCUUUGGAUGGGCCCGCGUGGGAUUAGCUAGUUGGUAGGGUAAAAGCCUACCAAGGCGACGAUCCAUAGCUGGUCUGAGAGGAUGAUCAGCCACACUGGGACUGAGACGCGGCCCAGAAUCCUACGGGAGGCAGCAGUGGGGAAUAUUGGAAAACGGGCGAAAGCAUGAUCCAGCAAUGACGGGUGAGUGAUGAAGGCCUUAGGGUUGUAAAGCUCUUUUACCCGGGAUGAUAAUGACAGUACCGGGAGAAUAAGCCCCGGCUAACUCCGUG